rnacentral:rRNA from 1 species
GAAGGUGAUGCCUGCCCGGUGACCUGAUGUUUAACGGCCGCGGUAUCCUAACCGUGCAAAGGUAGCGCAAUCAAUUGUCCCAUAAAUCGAGACUAGUAUGAAUGGCUAAACGAGGUCUUAACUGUCUCUUGCAGGCAAUCGGUGAAAUUGAUCUCCCUGUGCAAAAGCAGGGAUAAACCCAUAAGACGAGAAGACCCUGUGGAACUUCAAAAACAGCAGCCACCCCAAAUUACACACACACCCACCGGGCUCACUAACACACAAGCCACUGGCCUGCAUUUUUUCGGUUGGGGCGACCUUGGAGAAAAACAAAUCCUCCAAAAAUUAGACCACCCCUCUAGACUAAGAGCAACCCCUCAACGUGCUAAUAGUACCCAGACCCAAUAUAAUUGACCAAUGGACCAAGCUACCCCAGGGAUAACAGCGCAAUCUCCUUCAAGAGUCCAUAUCGACAAGGAGGUUUACGACCUCGAUGUUGGAUCAGGACAUCCUAGUGGUGCAGAAGCUACUAAGGGUUCGUUUGUUCAACGAUUAACAGUCCU